UAUAUGUUUGCACAUGAUAUUUUGAUUAUGAAGAAAGUGAUAAAUAUGUUUGUUUAAAGAAGAAAUUUGUUGAAGAAUGUUGUGAAAUUUGCAUGUACAUUCGGCCUAGUACAUGUAUAGUGUGAAAAACCUUGAAAUUAUUUUUGAUUUUGUGUAUUUAUGACCAUGUGUAAUCGGCCACAUGAGUAAUUUGAGCACUUGAUGUUAUGUUAAAAUUCUUGAGCUUAAAUAUAUGGAUGUAUGUAUAUGUGGCCAUAUAAUGGCGUUUUGGUUCAAAGGUUGAAUGAUAAAUUAUAAUAAAGUGAGAUGAUAUGAGAUGCCGAAUGUGAUUUACUAGUAAACAUUAUUGAUAGAAAUAUUGAAUACUUCUACUUGUAUUCAUUAAGCUCAAGAGCAAAAGGGAGCUAAAUCCGAUAAAGGGAAGGAAAAAGUAGUCGAAUAGCCAUCGGAAUCGUUCGACAACAUCCGAGAUUUUGCUCGUUAGCGAUCGGAUUCGGGAUCAUAGAAGUUGAAGUCAACCACACUAUCAAAGCCCUUUUUGGUACUCCUUUAGUUGAGUUCGGAUAUGGCAUGUAUAGGACUACCCUCGGUUAUUUUUAAGUACUUGUGAUGUAUAUGUGUACGGCCAUGCGAAAAUGGUUCGUAAUAGUGGAGUAUGGAAUUAGACCAUUUGUGGUUUGUAAUUAUAUAUGGUUUCAUGA